rnacentral:rRNA from 1 species
CCCUGCCAUUUGUACACACCGCCCGUCGCUACUACCGAUUGAAUGGCUUAGUGAGGCCUUGGGAUUGGCUUCGGGGAGCCGGCAACGGCACCCUGUUGCUGAGAACUUGGUCAAACUUGGUCAUUUAGAGGAAGUAAAAGUCGUAACAAG